rnacentral:rRNA from 1 species
GGGCGAAAGCCUGACGGAGCAAUACCGCGUGAGGGAGGAAGGCUCUUGGGUUGUAAACCUCUUUUCUCAGGGAAUAAGAACUGAAGGUACCUGAGGAAUCAGCAUCGGCUAACUCCGUGCCAGCAGCCGCGGUAAUACGGAGGAUGCAAGCGUUAUCCGGAAUGAUUGGGCGUAAAGCGUCCGCAGGUGGUUUAUCAAGUCUGCUGUCAAAGAGUUUGGCUCAACCAAAUAAAGGCAGUGGAAACUGACAGACUGGAGUGCGGUAAGGGCAGAGGGAAUUCCUGGUGUAGCGGUGAAAUGCGUAUAGAUCAGGAAGAACACCGGUGGCGAAAGCGCUCUGCUGGGCCGUAACUGACACUGAGGGACGAAAGCUAGGGGAGCGAAUGGGAUUAGAUACCCCANUAGUCA